UUGCCCGAUGAUUAUAAAAAGACGCGUUAUUAAGAGGACUUAAUGCUGGAAUUCUUUAACCUUCUUUCUCUCUUUCUGUACUUCUAUUUCUUUCUUUGGAGUCCAGCGUCCUAUGAGCGACGAUUAUGAGAUAUGAGGCAA
ensembl:snoRNA SNORD97 small nucleolar RNA, C/D box 97